CCUUUGGAGCGUUAUAUCAAACGAAAGUAGUCUUAGUAAAAACUAAUACAAAAUCGGACGUGUUGAAUUAGGAA
rnacentral:sRNA from 12 species